rnacentral:rRNA from 1 species
ACCUAAUCACACCAUCAUUAUUAUACCUAAUGAACAAGCCCAAUCCCAUCUGAUCUUGGAAACUAAGCAGGGUCGGGCCUGGUUAGUACUUGGAUGGGAGACUACCUAGGAAGACCAGGUGCUGUAGGCA